rnacentral:rRNA from 1 species
GACGAACCGUGCGAACGUUGUUCGGAAUCACUGGGCUUAAAGGGCGCGUAGGCGGGCCGUCAAGUCGAGGGUGAAAUCCCCCAGCUCAACUGGGGAAGUGCCUCCGAUACUGGCGGCCUCGAGGGGGAUAGGGGCAUGCGGAACUUCCGGUGGAGCGGUGAAAUGCGUAGAUAUCGGAAGGAACACCGGUGGCGAAAGCGGCGUGCUGGAUCCCUUCUGACGCUGAGGCGCGAAAGCCAGGGGAGCGAACGGG